rnacentral:rRNA from 1 species
UACAGAGGGGGCAAGCGUUGUUCGGAAUUACUGGGCGUAAAGGGCGCGUAGGCGGCCUGUUAAGUCGAACGUGAAAUCCCCGGGCUCAACCCGGGAACUGCGUCCGAUACUGGCAGGCUUGAAUUCGGGAGAGGGAUGCGGAAUUCCAGGUGUAGCGGUGAAAUGCGUAGAUAUCUGGAGGAACACCGGUGGCGAAGGCGACGUCCUGGACGGCAUGACGCUGAGGCGCGAAAGCCCAGGGGAGCAAACGGGG